UACAGCAACUUCACCCACAGCUACCAUGACUUUGAUCCCCAUCUUCAUCUGGACACUGAUCCUCUGGACUCAAGAAUGCAGAGGUCAAGUCACAGUAACUCAGACUCCUGCAGUGAAAUCUGCUCUUCCAGGAGAAACAGUCACCAUCAACUGUAGAACCAGUCAGGCAGUCUCUAGAGACUCAAACGGUGACUGGCUACACUGGUAUCAGCAGAAACCUGGAGAAGCUCCUAAACUCCUGAUUAAGUUCGCAAAUCAGCGACAGUCAGGUAUUCCAGCUCGUUUCAGUGGCAGUGGAUCUGGAUCUGAUUUCACUCUGACCAUCAGUGGAGUCCAGACUGAAGAUGCAGGAGAUUACUACUGUCAGAGUUACCAUUCCAUUUCUGGCUACUGGUUCACACAGUGUUAUAGAGUCAUACAAAAACCUCCCUCAGUCAGAUUGUAGAGAGACUGAACUGCUGCAGCUGGGAGUGACUGCAGGUGCUGAGAUGGACGAUGUGGUACUGCACAAUGACACUAUGAGACACACUCCUGACACAUACACACCUAAUAAUCAAUUUUACAUAAGUUAUGGAGUUAAUAGAGACUUAUUGUGUAUAAGUACAGAGGACUAAUAAUUAAUGUAUACUCUGGCAUUAAGAGUAAAAACACAGGGUGACAUGUCAGCAUUGAGGCAGGUCUAGUAGGUUUGAACUAUUUCUCCAUAUAUUCAGAUACAUUUCCCUAAACUGCAUUAAACUGCAAUUAAUUUACACUAAAAACUAAUCUACAUUUAAGGUAGAUGGACAUUUAGAGACAUUUUAUGCAUUAAAACUAUAUUAAAAAAACUAUAUAUUAAAACUAAAAUUAUAUAAUUUUAAUAUAAUUCCAGUGCAUAUACCGUAAAUAUCGAAAGUUUUCAGACCCUUUUACACAUCACACUCUCAUCAGUCUACAUAAAAUACUCCAUAAUUGUUGUUGUUUUUUCGGCUGCUCCCAGUUUGGGGUCACCACAGUGGAUCAUUUGGUCUGCAUGUUUUGAUUUGGUACAGGUUUUACACCGGAUGCCCUUCCUGAAGCAACCCUCCCAUGUUAUCCAGGCUUGGGGCCGGCAUUGAGAGUUAACUCUUCAGUGGCUGGGUUACGUCUCUGCCCUGGGAUUCGAACCCGGGCCCAGCAAAGAGAGCACGGUAGCCUGCCACUGGACCACCAGGAGGCUAUAAAAUACUCCACAAUUAUGAAGCAUAAAACCGGUUAAUGAAAUAUUUUAAAAUACAAGAUAAGAUACAAGAUUUCUGCAGCACUGAAAGUACCAAAGUGUGUGUGUGUGUGUGUGUGUAGGUCUCAUCCAGCCCAGUGAGACAGUGCCGUAUUUUUUUGUAAAUAAUUUUGGCAGCUAUACUGAUACUUGCAAACUAAUAUUUAUUUUUCAUCCCACUACAAUAUAUUGGCUUACUUAAUGUAUAGCUAUUAAGUCCAUUUCAGGCUUUAACGCUACAAAAUAUAGAAAAGAUCAAGGCGGGGUGAAAAUUUGAACAAUCCACUGCACUGUAUCAUGCUUCAAGCGCCAAAAAAGGCUCCGACCCUGUAAUUAAAAAGCAAUGAAAUAAAAAGCACAAGUUGCACAGCAAGUAACGGUAAACAAAAAAGAAGUUCUGAGAACAUUUAUGAAAAUCCAGAUGAACUGAAAAUAUUAUAUGUAGCCUUACAUAUUAUAUUACAAAAGUCCUGCUCUGUCUCAUGACCAUUUUCUGAUAAUAGAACACUAUUUGCAUUAAUAUUAACUCUAAUUAAGUUUAUAUUUUAAUUAGUUCCUUGCUUUAACAUUUAGCAAUUAGUUGCACAUACUAUUUAUUUGUUACCUGAGUAUUAAUUUUUUAUUUAUUUAUUUAUUCCAAUCUGUUAUUGUGAUAUUGUAAUAUAACACCAUGAAUUUGUAUUUCCUUAAUAGGUUCACUGCACUUUACUGUAUCAGCUUUGAUAUUUAUAACUGAAUGAGUACACCAUCAUCUCUAGUCGGUGAGUCAAAUAUGCCUCACAGCUUCUCAGUGGUUUUGGCAUAUUAACCAGAUUAGCAAACACUAGCAAUAAUAAAUUAUCUUAAAUUCUAGCAACACUGCCAGGUACAGUGCUAAGCAACCAGAUUGUACAAAUUUAUUUUUAUGCACGUUAUGUUAGCUAAAAGCACAUAAUUCUAGCUUAGAUUAUCUAGGCUGAUAUCUCUUAUCUUAGGGACAGUGGUAGCUCAGUGGUUAAGCCAUUGGAUUACUGCUGAGAAGGUUGUUCGCUCAAAAUCCAGCACUGCCAAGCUGCUAUUGUUGGGCCCUUGAUCAAGGUGUAACGUAGCGUCAGACGUAGGGGUAUUAGAAUCCAUACGCGGAUGAUGUAAAGGGCCAAAGGCUAAGAUCUUGGUCGAGGUCACAGAAAAGAUAGAGUCGAAAACCAGAAAGCAAUGAAGAGAAAGUCAAAACCAAAACGCUAGUCCAAGAAACGAAGUCAGAAGAAAAACGAGCAAGGUCAUACACGAGGAAAUGAGACUAUAGAUAAAUCAAGGCUUGGCAGGUAACACAAAGGAAACAAUGCUUCGCAAUGAAACUAGGAUAGCGUGCGGUUUAUAUAAGUCAUAGAACCGGAAGUGAACAGAAACAGUUAAUAUUCGGGCGACGGCUCCCUCUGGCGUUCAGGCCUCGUGACACAAGGUCCUACUGCCCAAUUGUAUAAAUAUAAGCUGCUGGCUAAGGGCAUUUGCAAAAUAUACAAUUUUUUUUAACAUAGUUCACAUGAGUUAAUGGAUAUAACAACCAGG